rnacentral:rRNA from 1 species
UACGUAGGGGGCGAGCGUUGUCCGGAUUUAUUGGGCGUAAAGAGCGUGUAGGCGGCCAGGUAGGUCUGCUGUGAAAACUCGAGGCUCAACCUCGAGACGUCGGCGGAAACCAUCUGGCUAGAGUCCGGAAGAGGAGAGUGGAAUUCCUGGUGUAGCGGUGAAAUGCGCAGAUAUCAGGAAGAACACCCGUGGCGAAGGCGGCUCUCUGGGUACGGUGACUGACGCUGAGUGCGAAAGCGUGGGGAGCAAACGGG